UACGUAGGAGGCAAGCGUUGUCCGGAGUUACUGGGCGUAAAGCGCACGCAGGCGGUUCAGUCAGUCUGUAGGGACAGGGCACAGCUCAACUGUGUCAGGCUUACGGAAACUGCUGAACUUGAGGGCUUCAGAGGGAUGGGGAAUUCCGGGUGGAGUGGUGAAAUGCGUAGAGAUCCGGAAGAACACCAAAGGCGGAGGCACCAUCCUGGGGAGUCACUGACGCUCGGGUGCGAAAGCCAGGGGAGCGAACGGG
rnacentral:rRNA from 1 species